CAUUUUGAAUGCAACAUGCCAAACUGCAUUCAAAACACUUUGGUAUGGUAUGUUUCUAAAAUAGAUGGAUUUUCAAACUGGUAUUAUUUUUUAAGUUUGAACUCUAGUAAGAGAAACUCUAAUCGGAAGGUUAAAAGACUUGCUAAAAUUAUUUUUAAAGGUAGACAUCUUAAAAAGUUGCUAGAAGAUCUUCUCCAAUAUUGAGUAGUUGAAUGUCUUGUCAAAAAAUUAUUAAAUUAAUUGUUGCUUCAAAUUUGACUUGAAGUUUUGUAAAGCAAUUUUUGUCACAUCAACAAAAUUAAAUCAUGAUCACAAGAAAGUAUUUGAGUAGAUCCAAUGGUAAAAACCUGAUGUAAGAAUUUGUUAUGUCAAAAUAGCAUGUGAACUGUUAGAAUGAUAUAGUCAAAAAAAUAUUUUAUUUGUACUAUAAGUGUAAUUUUGUGUUUGGAUUAUAAAUUUGUGUAGGAAUGGGAAAUAGAAAGAAAAAAUAUGAGUGAAAUAUAAAUAAAAUAUAGUUACAUUUUGCCUAUAUUUCACUUACUAGUUUUUUUUUUUCCUUUCAAAAUCCAAACGCAAAUCUAUAAUCUAAACAUAGCUUAAUGGAAAAGUUAUAAGGCUUGCCAAAGUUAUUUUUUAGCUAGAUAUCUCAAAAAUCCUUCUUCAAUAGUGAGCCAAAUGUCUUGCCAAAAAAUGGCAAACCAAAUCUUGUGUAAAAUUUGGCUUGAAGUUUGUUAAAGUCAUUUUUGUCACAUCAUCAAAACUAAAUCAUGAUCACAAUAAAUUUGUUGAGGUGUAGAUGUGAUGGUCAAAAAUUUAUGAGAAUCGGUUGUGUUAAAAUAGCAUAAGUAAUCUUAUUUAGAGACCUAACAAACGCGUUGGAGAGCCUUUCUCUCUAGGAGAUUUUUGGCAUCUUUCCAGUGUUUUUCUUCUUCAACUCUUGGCUUUAGGUGGUGUCGAAAGUUAAAGAAGGUAGCCAACACAGCAAUGGAGAUGCGCAGAGGCGGCAGGGACGAUAGCAACACCGACAAUGUGUUUGGGCUUUAUUUUGAUACAGAGUACCGCAACUAAUUUUUUUUGGCGAUUUUUGUAAUUUGUUAUUUAUAAUUUGUAUAAAAUUUCUUAUUUGGCCA